AUUGAACGCUGGCGGCAGGCCUAACACAUGCAAGUCGAACGAGUGGCGGACGGGUGAGUAAUGUCUGGGAAACUGCCCGAUGGAGGGGGAUAACUACUGGAAACGGUAGCUAAUACCGCAUACCAUCGGAUGUGCCCAGAUGGGAUUAGCUAGUAGGUGGGGUAAUUGCUCACCUAGGCGACGAUCCCUAGCUGGUCUGAGAGGAUGACCAGCCACACUGGAACUGAGAACCGGUCCAGACUCGUACGGGAGGCAGCAGUGGGGAAGAGUGCACAAUGGGAGCAAGCCUGAUGCAGCCAUGCCGCGUGUAGGAAGAAGGCCUUAGGGUUGUAAAGUACUUUCAGCGGGGAGGCGUUACCCGAAGAAGAAGCACCGGCUAACUCCGUGCCAGCAGCCGCGGUAAUAC
rnacentral:rRNA from 1 species